ensembl:snoRNA Gm22780 predicted gene, 22780
CCUGCCUCUAGAAUCGUUGCAGGGGUGGCUGCUGUGCCACAUGUUGGUCAGUAGGUGGCAGAAAGGAGAGAGGCUAUGUCUAUGCUCAGUGUUCUGACCUAUGAACAUCUGAAUGAUUAGUAGCUUAACAUU